UUCAAACUUGGUUUUAUAGCGAUUGAACAAGAAUAAAAUAUUCUCAAAAUUAUCCAUUGAUACGACAUGCUGUUUUUUCCAUUCAUUCCUUUCAGGAUCAGUCGCAGUCUUACAAACUCUCCCGAAGAUUUGGACGAAUUCUUUGCUUCAUAGAAAUGUGUAAAAAGAUGCUAGCCGUACUUAAAAGCCGAGUACUCUACCGUUGAGUUAGCAACCCAAAAUAAUUCGAAUGGGUAGAUAGAAUCGGAAUAAAAAAAAAAUAAAAAAAAAAAAAAGGAAUUUCAAAACGGAAUCAAAAAAUGAAAUUAGCAAGAACUCGAAUCAAAAAAAUUUCUAAUCGAUUUUGAACAUAAAAAAAAGACAACCAAAACCUAUGGAACGGAGAUAAAUGGGCCCAUUUCUCCAUGAGAAAAUU
rnacentral:lncRNA from 1 species